CAGGAACAUGCUAGAAGACUGCUUUCCCUCAAUAUUUAAUAUUUUUUAACACAUUUAUUAGCAUUUUAUAACUUGAAGAGUAUAAGAGAAUAUAAGAUAUUUUAGACCGAAUCUUUAAUACCGAAUGAAUUCCAACUUAGUUCGGAGAUUUUUAAAUUUCUGGGUAGCUUGAUGAAAAUUUAAUAAAAUUCCAGUCCUGAAUUCUAAAUUUUCUAAAAGGGAAAAAAGUUCAUUCAAAUUAUGUUCUGGAGAAACACAAAUGUAUCCAUUACUCUUGUUUUUCAAAGUAGCCGGUGGAAACGUUGACUUUUAGCAGAAAUGUUCGGAGAGACCUGACCUCUCUCUGUAGAUCUGAACAAGAAAUGUUUGUGGUUCUCUGGAAAACUUUGAUUUUUUCUGUGGUUCUUUUCUGUUCUCCGCGAUUGACAACCCUAGCCCAUUGAAGCGCCAUUGUGUCCUCCACUUUUCUAAUAGAUAGCUUCCUUUCCUUUGGAUAAUUCAUGUUGAUGGACCUUGAAGAUGGUAUUAAAGAUGUUGCUCUGGCAU